AGUGAACGCUGGCGGUAGGCCUAACACAUGCAAGUCGAACGGCAGCACAGGAGAGCUUGCUCUCUGGGUGGCGAGUGGCGGACGGGUGAGGAAUACAUCGGAAUCUACCUUUUCGUGGGGGAUAACGUAGGGAAACUUACGCUAAUACCGCAUACGACCUACGGGAGAAAGUGGGGGACCGCAAGGACUCACGCGAUUAGAUGAGCCGAUGUCCGAUUAGCUAGUUGGCGGGGUAAUGGCCCACCAAGGCGACGAUCGGUAGCUGGUCUGAGAGGAUGAUCAGCCACACUGGAACUGAGACACGGUCCAGACUCCUACGGGAGGCAGCAGUGGGGAAUAUUGGACAAUGGGCGCAAGCCUGAUCCAGCCAUACCGCGUGGGUGAAGAAGGCCUUCGGGUUGUAAAGCCCUUUUGUUGGGAAAGAAAUCCUGUCGAUUAAUACUCGGUGGGGAUGACGGUACCCAAAGAAUAAGCACCGGCUAACUUCGUGCCAGCAGCCGCGGUAAGAC
rnacentral:rRNA from 1 species